ensembl:lncRNA
AGAGCCAAGAGAUUUGCAUUUGGAAGCGCCCCGUCCUCUUGCGCGUCUGGCGAGAAAGGAGAGCCUGGUGACCGACCGAGCUGCAUUUCUGGAGCAGUUGCUGGGUUUUUGCCUCGCUGAAGCAUGAGUAGCACCAGGGAAGUGGAGGCGAGGGAAAGGGAAUCCUGUCACCGAGCGGACACCUGCUCCUGCGCCCCCCCGCCCACGCCCGGGCCGCAGGCGCUGGCUCGCCCUCUCCAUCUGCCCUGCCGGCGGCGUUGCCCGCCCCGUCCGCCCCGCCCAUCCUUCCUCCAGGGCUGUGGAGAGAAUGGUGUGGGGACUGCAGGAAGCCCCGAAAACUAGACCAGUGCGGGUGCUGGGGAGCCAUAGGCCAGAGUUUUUUUUAAUCUUUCUCUGGAACCGACUCUCAGUUGCAGAACCGAGUUUUGAGCUCGGUGUAAAGUUUAAAUUGCAGUCUACAAGCUGUUUCAAAGGCAGAUUCCUACCCACUGGAAUACCAGAGAAGUCCCUACCUGCUUUUAAGAAGGAGAAAUGGACCCUGGUGCACAAUCAAGGGAGAGACCCACUAAUAGCUCCACCCAUCUCACGCUCAGUGAUGAUCUGGCUGCCGCAGGAGAACUGAGGCUGAAUAGCAAUCAUGGACUUCUUACCUUUGACAUCUUUCCAGCUGCGGUCGGCGUCCUCUCAUCUUGAUUUCUUGCUACACUCACCUGCAGGAGGUCCCUAGCAGACAGAACCUGGGCUCCAAAGGAACGUGGACAUCACUGUCCACAGGUAUUUCAGGAUAUAUUCGCUCAGGGGGUUGCUUCCUCAGUUCUGGUGACCCCACUGAUUUGACGGAGAAUCUAAGGAAGUCAUUUCUUGUGCAUCUGUCUCCUGUAG